GAACAUGAUUUGAGGUAUAAUUAAUAAGAAGGGAAAAAAAGAAUGCGAAAAGAAAGAGAAGAUAUUUAGACGGGUAAGCCAAAUUCAUCGAAUCCGAGCUCUCUCAUAACUUCCUUGCACUCAGGAACCCUUUCCUUCUUCAUGAAUGACAGAGGAUUGGCUUGGCGGACGGCAUUGGUGAUUCCACUGUUGCUGGUGAUGCUCACUCGAGACUUGUGCGCAUACCCUCCCUCCGUCACCUCAUCGCAGUCUGAAUCGCUGCUCUUCUCCAGCGACACCUCGCACACAUCUUCCUCGUGGUCGCCGUCCGCCUCGAUCUUGCUGCCAGGUUAAGAAGCGUCAUGAAGCAAAGGGCUGAAACAAGCAUGAUUGCGGAUUUUGCCAUUGUUUUUGUUGUUGUUCUUCUUCUUCUUUGCUCGUUCGCUCUUUUUCGCUUUUGAUUGAGAGGUGUGGAUGAAGAUGGAGAAUGAACUGCUGAUUUUAUAGCUCUAUUUUGGGGUUUAAUCCGUUACUUGAUUGCUAUUCUUAGGAGCUUAGCAAUGGUUUCUUGUUAUUAAUUUGUUGCCAGAAAAUCAGGCUUCCCUCUUUGAUCGAGUCAAAUUGUAAAAAUGUUUGAAAAAAAACAAUCAUUUGUUUACUCUAAUCUUAUUGGAUUGUGUCA